GAACACUAACUUCAGGGAAACCGUGCCGGUUCGCGAUGCUCUGAGAGUGAGACCGCUGGCGGAGAAUGAAGCAAGUGCCUAUCAUCUUAGAAGGCUUUUUCAGAUAAUGCCGAGAUCAGUGUCCAAACAGUGGGACAGAACCGAAAGUAAUUCAUCCACAACGUCUUUGGAGCAGGAGAGAGCCAAGCAGAGGUCUAUAUGAAGUCUGUGUCCAAGAUCAUUAAGAAGAUCCACAAUGCUCUACGGGAAACUCUUCGUAGACUUGCUGCCAUCGGCCCACCGGAUAGAAACAUCCCAGAAAUCCAUGAAAUCGAGGGUGGCGGGAUCAAGUUGACGGGCGUAACUGAGGUGCCGGAAACAAAAGUGGAGGAGACUAUGCGGUACGGCAAGGAUCUCGCCACCGAACCACCGGCUCGACGGCUAUGAAUAGCAGAAGCAGCCGAUCUCAAGCCUUCAUCCGCAUACAGCUGCAGCAGCGGAAUAAACAGAAUGCGUGGCGACUUCAUAGUGUCCACAAAGUUCCAGCUGGUGGACCUCGCUAGAAGCGAAUCCGCCAAAGAGACCGGCGCUGAGGGGUCCUAAAAGAAGCUCUUGGCAUCAACCGGGGUCUUCUGACCCUUGGAAAAGUCAGUAGAGCCGCCGCAGCAAAGCAGAGUUCGAUUCCUUUCAGAGAAUCUGAAUUCAC